CAGAGCUUCAUGAACCACACUGGUGCCGCAGCUGCUUCACACCUUCAGUUUCUCUGCGGUGUGCAAAUGUAGAAAGGGAAGGCGGAGGAAUGUGUUGUCUGUGAAAGAUUGCCCUACAUUUUGCCAAGUCAGAGCAGCCUCCACCAUCCUCCCAGCAUCCACAGCACCAAAUCCCUGGAAAAGUAGGGGAUUUAUUGACUGAUCAUAAGCACACACUUGGCCUGCAGAACAAGAGCCACCACUCCUGCCACAAGAGGAGCUGCUGCUGAGGAGCCCUGGAACCGGCUGCUGCAGUGACCGUCCAACUCCGGCACCACCUGUGGGAGGAAGGAAGUAUCCAGGAGCACAAGUCUGACCUGCACCACCUCACAAGCCUGGCCUGCAUGACCCCACAAGUCUGACCUGCAUGACCCCACAAAUCUGACCUGCAUGACCCCAUACAGCAGUGCCAAGUUGGCCAGCCUGCCGGGACCCUCCACAUGGACCCCAUCGUCUUUGGGUCCCCAUGAGGCGCUGAACACGGCCACCUCACCCACGUAUCUGGACAGUGCUGUCGCCUCCUGCACAUCUGUCACUGUGCCAUCUACAAUGCGCACACCUGAACCCAACACAGGAGACUGUUGCAACACCUCUCCUUUAUCAUGGGGAUUAAAGAAAAUGGGAUCUUUAACCAUCCUAACUGUAAAUAGAGCAUGCUGUGACAGAACAUGAAUAAAUUACAUCUGGAGCAGUUCCCAA